UUUUUUUUUUUUUUUUUUUUUUUUUUUUUUCGACAGCAUGAUUUUGAG
rnacentral:ribozyme from 1 species